CGGGCAGCAGCUCAGUUGUAGAACUCCCGCUUCGUAUGCGGGAAGGCGUGGGUUCGAUUUCCGUCUGCUUAC
rnacentral:tRNA from 1 species